UAUGAAGUCCAUUUUUCUUUCUUGGGAUUUGCCACUUGUCCUGUUGGCCUUUCAGGCUUUCCCAUUUGAACCUAUAACAGAGAAUACAGCUAUGGUCCUUACUCUUAAGAUAUAUCUGAAGGGUUGCCUUGACAUCAGGAAGAAGGGUCUGGCAGUUCUCUCAUCAGACAAACCUUUCAUCUUGUUCCAACAGGAUAAGGUGAUUAUGAGAGCAGUUCCAGAGUUCAGGCCUAAAGUGGGUUCAUCAUUUCAUAUGGACCAAGAGAUCAGCUUG